rnacentral:rRNA from 1 species
GACGUAGGGCGCGAGCGUUGUCCGGAUUUAUUGGGCGUAAAGAGCGUGUAGGCGGCUAGGUAGGUCCGUUGUGAAAACUCGAGGCUCAACCUCGAGACGUCGAUGGAAACCAUCUAGCUAGAGUCCGGAAGAGGAGAGUGGAAUUCCCGGUGUAGCGGUGAAAUGCGCAGAUAUCGGGAAGAACACCCGUGGCGAAGGCGGCUUUCUGGGACGGUACUGACGCUGAGACGCGAAAGCGUGGGGAGCGAACAGG